UUUUCUUCGUUAUUGAAUGGUGAUUCAUUUUCUUCAACAUUUAUUACUUCAGGUGCAUCACUUCCAUCUUCUGAUUCAUCAUCGUCUUUACAAUAGCUGCAUUCAAAUAAUACGUUUCUAAUCGAUUGAAACUAUUGACAGAUAAAAGAUGAUCGUAACGUGUUUAUAUUUUUUCAAUUACAGUCUCUCUAAACUUCGGUUUUUAAGACGUCAAAAAUUGUUCGCCGCUAUUUGAUAUCAACACCGAGUCCUCGUUAAAAAUAAUAAAUAAAAUACAACGAACACAUAAUAAAUAUUUUAUAUAUUAGACAAGAAUUUAAAGGAAUUGUACGAAGAACGGUGUUGUUACGAAGGUAAAAGAAUGAAGACGCGACGGCUGUGUUCAUUGAAUCAUUUAAAUUCACCAAAAAAUUCUACAACAUCUAUUCACGGAUCUGAUUUAGAAAAGUCUAUAAAAAAUAAUAAAAAAUUGUUUGACAUAAAACGUCGACGUUUACAACGAGGAAAACUUCAAAAAAGUAACGGAGAGCAUGGAAAUGAUUCGUGCUUAAAAAGAGAUACAUUUGCAUCUUUGGAAUCUUUAUUUGAUAUAAAAAAACCUUUACAUUUAUCUAAAAUAAAUUUAGUUCAAAUUCAGCAAUAUAAGAAAAAUAUCGUUUUUGAAAAACAAAAUCUUAAAGACGUGAAACAUUUGGAGGGAGAUUCAAUUUCAAAAACUACCGAAUUAUUUACGAAUAUUACAAAUAUUUCAAAAGAGAAAAUUGAAGAAGACAAUUUUAUUACAAAUAAUACGUUAGAAGAAAGUGGAGAAUCGAACGUAAAUUCACACGAAAUAAAUCAUUCAAAUGAAAAAGAUUUAUUGAAUAACCCUAUCGAGCAGGAAAAUCAGUUAAAUAAAAAAAUGGCAGAUGAAUCUAUAGAAGUAUUGCAAGAAGAAGAAGAAGAGAAUGUUGAAGAAAUACAAACUGAUACCGAAAAAGCACCGAAAGAAGAUGAUAAGCCUUCUCCACCAUCUUAUCCAAUACCAGCUGGUGCUGGAGAGGGUGUACCAGUUCAAGCUGGAAGACGACGCGAGUCCGUGUUAAGUGCUUCACCUUUAGCGGAAGAAUCCGUGAUAGCAGAAUUGAAAGCAGCAGAUGAAAGAUGUAAAGUAGUUGCAGACGAAAUUAAAAAAUUAAAAGAAGAAAUGCUUCAGCUUGUUGAUAAAAAAGAAUUGACAGACGAGGAUACAAUAGUGAUUCAAAAAAAGCAAGAGGAUUUAAUGUCAAAGUUGGCUGAGUUUGAAGAAAUGACACGAAAGUUACAGAGACUGUUAGGAUUAACUGAUCCUACUAGCGAAACAUUUUCUAAAAUGUUCGGCUUGUUAACUUUUCCGCAUACAAAAUCAAUCGAUGGUGCUGGAGAAGAGAUCGAAAUUUUACCAGUUGAGAAAACUAAAGAUGAUAAAGAAAAACCCAAAGUAGAAUUGGCGCCUGUGAUAGACGAUCAGUUUGAUUUACCUCAACCAGAAUAUCAAGAAGACAAGCUUCCAAGAGUGAUCGUCUGUGGUUACACAGAAGACGAAAUGCCAAAGAUUGUGAUAGCAGACGGUGAACGAGGAGGAAAGAAAGAAUGUUUGCAAAAUUUAACAGGAAAAUUGACUGAAUCCUUGACUAUGCAAGAAAAAUUAGUUAAAGAGAAUGCACAACUCGAAGGUGGAAAAUACGAAUUGGAAGAAGCAUUAUUGGAGAAAGAUACAGCUGUUGAAUGUCUUCAACGGAAGGUAUGCGGAUUGCAAGCUGAAAUACGUUUAAUGGUGAAGGAGAAUACGGAAUUAAAUCGUCGAUUGGCUUGUUUAAAUCAACGUAUCACUACUCCUACUUGCUGUUACACCCAUACGGAACGUAGGUCAUCUUGUUCACCACCAACAGUUUCAUCUUUACCAGCAUAUUCGCAAGUUACUUCAUCGCUGCCGGAUCAGGGUUGUUGCCAGUGCAAAUAUUGCGUUACUUACGAUAGUCCUGUUCAAUCGCCUACUUCUAUAUGCGUGAAUUCGCACAGCCGCAAGACUUCAAACGAUUGUAGAUCAUCCAGAUUAGCAGGUGGUGCAUCGAGAACAGGCAACUGUAUUUUGAGUAGAAGUUCAUCACAAACCGAAGAAAUGUGUUUCCGUAAUCCAGCAGUUUGUCCUAAAGCCUGCCCCGAGCCAACACCUAGAGGUGUUUGUCCAGCCGAAUUGGAGAACAAGUUUACCAUUUAUGGGAACAAUACGAAACAAUUGGCACAACAGUUAGGUAGCAUGGAGUGUGAAGUACGAAAUAUGCAAAUAGAAUUAGCGAAUGUUCAACGAGAACGUCAACAAUUGGAACAACAACGCAAGUUGCUUAAAUGUUCUGGACCCUGUGCACCAUGUGCCUGCUGCCCUCCACCACCACCACCACCACCUUGUGGUGGUCUUCCACCUUCUAUGAUUUCAAGUUACAUUCCAAGUACUCAAUUACCUCUCCCAAUUUCUCCAUCAUCUGCAAAUGGAAACGUUCCACUCAUGCCUAUGCCAAAGGCGCAGAUCAGUCAACAAUCCACGUCUGCUAUGUGUACUGGACCCUGUAUAACAGCACCAAUGGGUGCAAGCACUUGCCCUCAACAACAAUUACGUGAUUUACGAGAACAAUACGCACGUCUUCAAGAUGAUUACAAGAAUAAAUUAUGCGAAGUAUCUUGUCUUAGAACCGACAUGGAAAAAAUGAAACAAGAAGUCCGAGACUCGAAAGAAGAUAAGGAAAGAAUGGAAAUAAAAUUGAUAGACACGCAGGAACGUUUGAAAUCUUUAGAAGCCGAAAGAGAGAAAUUCGAAGGACAAAAAGAACAGAUGAUGGAGCAAGAACAAGCAUUGAUAAUGGCCAAGCAACGUUUUGGAAAAGCACAGGACGAAUUGGAAGAAUUACGAUCAUUGAUUCAAGAUCAAGCUGCUCAAUUAGAGGAUUAUCGCAAUAAAUAUUUACAAGCUCAGCAACAGGUUGAGGAACAACGUCGACAACUCGAUCUCAUGGAGAUGGAUAAUGCAAGAAUGAAUGAAAAUGUAACAUUAGAAAUUGGAAGGGUCAAAAAUCAAUUUCAAGAAAAACUCGCGGAACUCGCACCUUUGCCAGACAUCUUGAAACAAACACAAAUGAAACUUCAAGAAGCUCAACAAAUGAGAUUAGUAGCCGAACGUAAUUGCGAGGAUCUUUCGCGAGAACUUUUAGGAUGUAAAGAUAAGAUUCAAACGUUGCAAAGUCAAUUGGACGCGCUACGUAACGAACAUCAAACAUUACAAGAGGAAAGAGGACUUGGUACGGGACGAUUCGAUGAGUUAGAAAAGAAGAAUGCUGAAUUAAGACAUGACAAUGAACGUGAGAGAAGACAGUGCAAGACAAGUGGCACGUACCAAAGAAAGAUGCGAAACAGUGAGACGAACAAUGCAAGGUCAAAUAGCUGAGAUGGAAAGACAACUAGCUCAGUGUAGAGCGACAGCUAGAGCAGCACAGAAAGAUAGAGACGAGAUUAGGCAAAAGAUGCAAAGUCAGAUAAACAAUUUAAACGAGGCUUUUGAACAAGCUCAAGGCCGUAUUAGAUCAUUACAAGGACACG
rnacentral:misc_RNA from 1 species